GGGGCUGUAGCUCAGCUGGGAGAGCGCCAGCUUUGCAAGCUGGAUGUCGUCGGUUCGAGCCCGAUCAGCUCCA
rnacentral:tRNA from 2 species